GGAAUUUUUACUCCCCAAAAGAGCGCCCCCCAUGGCAGGAGAAAAAAGUCCAUUUUUUCUUGUCCCCUAAGGUGAAAAUACAUAUUGUUGAGAUUCACGCCUAUACGCUUUGUCAUAUUGACACAAAAUUUGACAAUCACGUGCCUUGCCUGGUAUCAUUUUUUUCAGCACAACCUCACCUGUGCGAAUUUACAGUUAUUUUAUCAUGUUGACAUACUGAAUUUACACAAUGGACCCAAAUUCACACACAAAACAUAAAAUCCGAGUGGAAAAAAGUAACAUUUUUACUGUGAAAACCACAAAUAUGUGUGAUGAACUGUUUUUAAAACUUAAACUUCAAAUAAAAAUUGUAAACUUCAAAACAUAUGCAAAUUUUUAACAAAGAACAUAGUGAUUUACCUCUAUUUACAUCAAAAUGCAGGCAAUGGCCCAGGCGUUCUUUGUAAAAUUAUUUACAAAACACUGUAUAGUCUCACAAAUGUCACUUUUUAUUUAUGCCACUACAAAAAAACAUGAUGUAAAUGAUGCAUGAUGUAAAACAUGAUGUAAAAAACUUGUGUAGAUCCUCCUGUAUGUCAGUCCAUGUGUAAUUUUUCCAUAAUUCUUUGUUUUUUGCAGCAUUUUUGUUAGUGUAACUGCAGAUUGUGCUGACAGUGUCUAUGGCACAAAAAAAAAAAAUUUAAAAUGCCUCAACAUGAACCCCUGGUGGUCUCUGAGGGUGAAACCUGCUAACUGCUGCAGCUCUGUCAGCUUCAGUCUCCCAUGCAGAGCUCUGAGCGCAUGUGUGGCUCUGCACCCUUAGCAGCGUUGCUAACUCCUCAGUAAGGAAAGCCUGCUUCAUGUCAGAGUCUCUAAACUCCAGAAGAAGUCGAUAAAAGUCCCUUUCUUUCUAAAAAAAAGUCGUUAGGGGGUCUGAAAAGUCAUUGAAUCUAACAACAAAGUCGCUAGGUUUGCAACUACGUGUCCCAGACUGCAUCCCUGCUGAGAGUCCCUCCCUCGCUUCUCAUGUUGCAGGAAGAAC